rnacentral:lncRNA from 1 species
GCAGGAGAAUUGCUUGAACCUGGGAGGCAGAGGUUGCAGUGAGCUGAGAUCGUGCCACUGCAUUCCAGCCUGGGCGACAAGAGGAAGACUCUGUCUCAAAACAAACAAACAAACAAAAAACAACCUCACACGUCCUUCCUCUCUCUCUCUCUUGUUCUCUCACCAUGUAACAUGCUGGCUCCUCUCCUCUACCAUGAUUGUAAACUUCCUGAGGCCCUCACUGGAAGCAGAUAACAGCAUUAUACCCCUUGUACAGUCUACAGAACCAUGAGCCAAAAUAAACCUCUUUUGUUUAUAAAUUGCCCAGUGUCAGGUAUUCCUUUAUAGCAACACAAACAGCUAACACAGGA